UACAGAGGUCUCAAGCGUUGUUCGGAUUCAUUGGGCGUAAAGGGUGCGUAGGUGGCGCGGUAAGUCGGGUGUGAAAUCUCGGAGCUUAACUCCGAAAUUGCAUUCGAUACUGUCGGGCUCGAGUCCGGAAGAGGAGUGUGGAAUUCCUGGUGUAGCGGUGAAAUGCGCAGAUAUCAGGAGGAACACCAAUGGCGAAGGCAGCACUCUGGGACGUGACUGACACUAAGACACGAAAGCGUGGGGAGCAAACAGG
rnacentral:rRNA from 1 species